rnacentral:rRNA from 1 species
GAAACUUGCCCCGAGAUGAGUUCUCCCUGAGACUUUAAGUCUCCUGAAGGAACGUUGAAGACGACGACGUUGAUAGGUCGGGUGUGUAAGCGCAGCGAUGCGUUGAGCUAACCGAUACUAAUGAACCGUGAGGCUUAACCUU